rnacentral:rRNA from 1 species
CACGUAGGGGGCGAGCGUUGUCCGGAUUUAUUGGGCGUAAAGAGCUCGUAGGCGGUUCGGUAAGUCAGGUGUGAAAUCUCCACGCUCAACGUGGAGGCGCCACCUGAAACUGCCGUGACUAGAGUCCGGUAGGGGAGUGUGGAAUUCCCGGUGUAGCGGUGAAAUGCGCAGAUAUCAGGAGGAACACCGGUGGCGAAGGCGGUUCUCUGGGCAUUACCUGACGCUGAGGAGCGAAAGUGUGGGGAGCGAACAGG